AGAUUGAACGCUGGCGGCAUGCCUAACACAUGCAAGUCGAACGGGAGUAGCAAUACUCUAGUGGCGGACGGGUGAGGAAUACGUAGGAAUUUGCCCUUAAGUGGGGGAUAACCCGGGAAACCCGGAUUAAUACCGCAUGACCUCGAAAGAGCAAAGUGGGGGAUCGCAAGACCUCACGCUUUUGGAGAAGCCUACGUCGGAUUAGCUAGUUGGUGAGGUAAUGGCUCACCAAGGCGACGAUCCGUAACUGGUCUGAGAGGAUGAUCAGUCACACCGGAACUGAGACACGGUCCGACUCCGUACGGAGGCAGCAGUGGGAAUAGUGGACAAUGGGCGCGAAGCCUAGAGUCCAGCAAUGCCGCGUGUGUAGAAGGAGGCCGUUGGUUAGUAAGCUAACGUUUAAGGUUAGGGAAAGAAAAACUCGACUACUAACGAACAGUAG
rnacentral:rRNA from 1 species